rnacentral:rRNA from 1 species
AGGAAAAGAAACCAACAGGGAUUGCCCCAGUAACGGCGAGUGAAGCGGCAAGAGCUCAAAUUUGAAAGCUGGCUCCUUCGGGGUCCGCAUUGUAAUUUGUAGAGGAUGCUUCGGGAGCGGUCCCCAUCUAAGUGCCCUGGAACGGGACGUCAUAGAGGGUGAGAAUCCCGUAUGGGAUGGGGUGUCCGCGCCCGUGUGAAGCUCCUUCGACGAGUCGAGUUGUUUGGGAAUGCAGCUCUAAAUGGGUGGUAAAUUUCAUCUAAAGCUAAAUAUUGGCCGGAGACCGAUAGCGCACAAGUAGAGUGAUCGAAAGAUGAAAAGCACUUUGAAAAGAGAGUUAAAAAGCACGUGAAAUUGUUGAAAGGGAAGCGCUUGCGACCAGACUCGCUCGCGGGGUUCAGCCGGCAUUCGUGCCGGUGUACUUCCCCGCGGGCGGGCCAGCGUCGGUUUGGGCGGUCGGUCAAAGGCCCUCGGAAGGUAACGCCCCUAGGGGCGUCUUAUAGCCGAGGGUGCAAUGCGACCUGCCUAGACCGAGGAACGCGCUUCGGCUCGGACGCUGGCAUAAUGGUCGUAAACGACCCGUCUUGAA